CGUACACUCCUGCGGGAGGCAGCAGUGGGGAAUAUUGCACAAUGGGCGGAAGCCUGAUGCAGCAACGCCGCGUGCGGGAUGACGGCCUUCGGGUUGUAAACCGCUUUCGCCUGUGACGAAGCGUGAGUGACGGUAAUGGGUAAAGAAGCACCGGCUAACUACGUGCCAGCAGCCGCGGUGAUACGUAGGGUGCGAGCGUUGUCCGGAUUUAUUGGGCGUAAAGGGCUCGUAGGUGGUUGAUCGCGUCGGAAGUGUAAUCUUGGGGCUUAACCCUGAGCGUGCUUUCGAUACGGGUUGACUUGAGGAAGGUAGGGGAGAAUGGAAUUCCUGGUGGAGCGGUGGAAUGCGCAGAUAUCAGGAGGAACACCAGUGGCGAAGGCGGUUCUCUGGGCCUUUCCUGACGCUGAGGAGCGAAAGCGUGGGGAGCGAACAGGCUUAGAUACCCUAGUAGUCCCA
rnacentral:rRNA from 1 species